AUCCAACUGACGAGUCUCAAAUAAGACGAAACGAGUCCCCUGGAU
rnacentral:hammerhead_ribozyme from 1 species